rnacentral:rRNA from 1 species
UACGUAGGGACCAAGCGUUUGUUCGGAUUUACUGGGCGUAAAAGGGCGCGUAGGCGGCUUUAACAAGUCACUUGUGAAAUCUCCGGGCUUAACUCGGAACGGCCAAGUGAAACUGUUUAUGCUAGAGUGCAGAAGGGGCAAUCGGAAUUCUUGGUGUAGCGGUGAAAAUGCGUAGAUAUCAAGAGGAACACCUGAGGUGAAGACGGGGUUUGCUGGGCUGACACUGACGUGAUGCGCGAAACCCAGGGGGAGCAAAACGGGG